rnacentral:tRNA from 1 species
GCGUUGGUAGCUCAGUGGUAGAAUUCUUGCCUUCCAUGUGGGAGACCCAGGUUUGACUUCUGGCCAAUGUA